rnacentral:rRNA from 1 species
AUGUGGAAAACAAAGGUUCCAGCAAAAAUCAAGUUCUUCUUAUGGUUGCUUGUUAAAAAAAGCAUUCUUACUAGAGAUAAUUUACUGAGGAGGGGUUGGAAAGGUGACAAACAUUGUAUACUGUGUGGCAAAGAUGAAAUUAUUGAUCACCUUUUCUUUUCCUGUUCAGUUGCUAGACUAAUAUGGAAUUUGGUAGGGUGUGCUCUUGAUUUAAAACAAAUCCCCAGGGAUUUGAAUGAUUGUUUUGGGAGCUGGCUUAGUAAAUUCCAAACAAAUAACAAAAGGUUAAUCCUGGUUGGUACCUCUGCCUUACUUUGGGCAAUUUGGAAAUGCAGGAAUGACAUUAUUUUUGACAAAAAGAAGAUAAACGACCGAAUGGAGAUAGUGAAAAUGAUUUGUAAUUGGAUUUCUGAUUGGGUUGUUUUGCAGAAAAAUGACCCAGAGGAAAAAACACUGAUGUUGGGGGCAAGACUCAUAGAGUAA